rnacentral:rRNA from 1 species
GAUGAACGCUGGCGGCGUGCCUAAUACGUGCAAGUCGAGCGAACAGACGAGGAGCUUGCUCCUCUGACGUUAGCGGCGGACGGGUGAGUAACACGUGGAUAACCUACCUAUAAAACUGGGAUAACUUCGGGAAACCGGAGCUAAUACCGGAUAAUAUAUUGAACCGCAUGGUUCAAUAGUGAAAGACGGUUUUGCUGUCACUUAUAGAUGGAUCCGCGCCGCAUUAGCUAGUUGGUAAGGUAACGGCUUACCAAGGCAACGAUGCGUAGCCGACCUGAGAGGGUGAUCGGCCACACUGGAACUGAGACACGGUCCAGACUCCUACGGGAGGCAGCAGUAGGGAAUCUUCCGCAAUGGGCGAAAGCCUGACGGAGCAACGCCGCGUGAGUGAUGAAGGUCUUCGGAUCGUAAAACUCUGUUAUUAGGGAAGAACAAAUGUGUAAGUAACUAUGCACGUCUUGACGGUACCUAAUCAGAAAGCCACGGCUAACUACGUG